rnacentral:rRNA from 1 species
UCGACGGAGAUAUUCGCUGAUGAGUACUUCGGUAAUGAAUCUUGGAUAUCUUAGUGGCGGACGGGUGAGUAACGCGUGAGCAACCUGCCUUUCAGAGGGGGAUAACGUUUGGAAACGAACGCUAAUACCGCAUGACAUUAUCUUAUCGCAUGGUAGGAUAAUCAAAGGAGCAAUCCGCUGAAAGAUGGGCUCGCGUCCGAUUAGGUAGUUGGUGGGGUAACGGCCCACCAAGCCGACGAUCGGUAGCCGGACUGAGAGGUUGGACGGCCACAUUGGGACUGAGACACGGCCCAGACUCCUACGGGAGGCAGCAGUAAGGGAUAUUGGUCAAUGGGGGAAACCCUGAACCAGCAACGCCGCGUGAGGGAAGACGGUUUUCGGAUUGUAAACCUCUGUCCUCUGUGAAGAUGAUGACGGUAGCAGAGGAGGAAGCUCCGGCUAACUACGUGCCAGCAGCCGCGGUAAUACGUAGGGAGCGAGCGUUGUCCGGAUUUACUGGGUGUAAAGGGUGCGUAGGCGGCUUGGCAAGUCAGUAGUGAAAUCCAUGGGCUUAACCCAUGAACUGCUAUUGAAACUGUCGAGCUUGAGUGAAGUAGAGGUAGGCGGAAUUCCCGGUGUAGCGGUGAAAUGCGUAGAGAUCGGGAGGAACACCAGUGGCGAAGGCGGCCUACUGGGCUUUAACUGACGCUGAGGCACGAAAGCGUGGGUAGCAAACAGGAUUAGAUACCCUGGUAGUCCACGCUGUAAACGAUGAUUACUAGGUGUGGGUGGACUGACCCCAUCCGUGCCGGAGUUAACACAAUAAGUAAUCCACCUGGGGAGUACGGCCGCAAGGCUGAAACUCAAAGGAAUUGACGGGGGCCCGCACAAGCAGU